rnacentral:piRNA from 1 species
AGUGGUUGUGGUUGCUGGGGGU